rnacentral:rRNA from 1 species
AGUGAACGCUGGCGGUAGGCCUAACACAUGCAAGUCGAACGGCAGCACAGUAAGAGCUUGCUCUUACGGGUGGCGAGUGGCGGACGGGUGAGGAAUACAUCGGAAUCUACUUUUUCGUGGGGGAUAACGUAGGGAAACUUACGCUAAUACCGCAUACGACCUACGGGUGAAAGCAGGGGAUCUUCGGACCUUGCGCGAUUGAAUGAGCCGAUGUCGGAUUAGCUCGUUGGCGGGGCAAAGGCCUUCCAAGGCGACGAUCCGUAGAUGGUCUGAGAGGAUGUUCAGCCACACUGGAACUGAGACACGGUACAGACUCCUACGGGAGGAAGCAGUGGGGAAUAUUACACAAUGGGCGAAAGCCUGAUCCAGCAAUACCGGGUGGGUGAAGAAGGCCUUCGGGUUGUAAAGUCCUUUUGUUGGGAAAGAAAAGAAGCAGGUUAAUCCCCCGCUGUUAUGACGGUACCCAAAGAAUAAGCACCGGCUAACUUCGUG